GUGGUCAUUUUUGCAACACAUAUAUUAAAAUUGGAAGUCUACAGAGAAAAUUAGCAUGGACUCUACACAGGAUGACAUCCAAAUUUGUAAAGUGCUCCAUAUUUUU
ensembl:snRNA Gm22287 predicted gene, 22287